UCCCUGGUAGCUCAGACGGUAAAGCGUCUGCCUACGAUGCAGGAGACCCAGUUUUGAUCCCUGGGUAGGGAA
rnacentral:tRNA from 1 species